AAAAGCUGGGUUGAGAGGA
rnacentral:ncRNA from 4 species